rnacentral:lncRNA from 1 species
GCUCGGAGGUGCGCAGGGCAAGCCCAUGCGAGGCCCAGCGUGGGUGCAUGCAGAUGUGCGAGGCCUAAUGCAGGCGUGCAGGCACACGCGGCCUGUGCGCACGUGGACUAUGUAGCGUGGUCCACCAUGGACUGCAUGGGAAGUCAUGGUCCAUGCAUCCUCUAUGGACCGCUACUGUCCAAGGAUGAAAAAUCAUGGUGCAUGACAAGCGGAAGCC